UACGUAGGGCGCAAGCGUUAUCCGGAAUUAUUGGGCGUAAAAGAGCUCGUAGGCGGUUUGUCGCGUCUGCCGUGAAAGUCCGGGGCUCAACUCCGGAUCUGCGGUGGGUACGGGGCAGACUAGAGUGAUGUAGGGGAGACUGGAAUUCCUGGUGUAGCGGUGAAAUGCGCAGAUAUCAGGAGGAACACCGAUGGGCGAAGGCAGGUCUCUGGGCAUUAACUGACGCUGAGGAGCGAAAGCAUGGGGAGCGAACAGG
rnacentral:rRNA from 1 species